rnacentral:rRNA from 1 species
AUACGUAGGGGGCGAGCGUUGUCCGGAAUGAUUGGGCGUAAAGGGCGCGUAGGCGGCCCGGUAAGUCUGGAGUGAAAGUCCUGCUUUUAAGGUGGGAAUUGCUUUGGAUACUGUCGGGCUUGAGUGCAGGAGAGGUAAGUGGAAUUCCCAGUGUAGCGGUGAAAUGCGUAGAGAUUGGGAGGAACACCAGUGGCGAAGGCGACUUACUUGACUGUAACUGACGCUGAGGCGCGAAAGCCAGGGGAGCGAACGGGAUUAGAUACCCCGGUAGUCCUGGCAGUAAACGAUGUAUGCUGGGUGUGAGACUAGCGAUAGUUUCGUGCCGAAGUUAACGCGAUAAGCAUACCGCCUGGGGAGUACGGUCGCAAGAUUGAAACUUAAAGGAAUUGACGGGG